UGCUGGGCUCCCAGGCGGUGGAGUCACCCCGGGACAGUCCUGGAGGCUCGCCGUGGGGGCUGGGAGGGAAGGCCGCACCGGCCCAGAGGAGGCUAUUGGCGACUCCAGUGGUUUCGGUUCCCGGAUUUCAAGGGACGCAGGACUGGCCAGGGGAGGAUGCGGUGUGGCACUCGUUAGCACUGAAAUCACGGGAAACGCAAAUCGAGUCUCAAACACAAUUUUUCCUCCCCGAGCUGUGAAGCGGCACAGGUGCAGUUUCAGGAAUCCACCCCAGACCCUCCCCGCUGAGGCCGCGUCCUCGCCUGGGUCCCCUGCCCCGGACACGGUGUCUCCGGUCACGGCUGAGGGGGCAGUGACAAGAAGGACCUUCUGUUGGUAAAAUGAGAAACGGCUAGGAUAUCCCUAAGACGCCUUCUAGCUGCAAAAGGUGGUGAUCUGUGACCAAGGAAGGAGGGAAAUGUGUGUGGCAUAAAGGACAGACAUUUUCUGUAACAGGCUAAGGGGCAGGACGGAGGAGCUUGGCCCCCCAACUCCACACCACGCCUUCCAAGUUCAAGCUCCUGCACGAGGGAUUCCACAACACGGGCUAAAAGGCUUCUUCGGACUUUGUGCCUGGGAAAACUGAUGUCCCGGACGGACGGGUCGGUCACUCCUCCCGAAUGUGUCAGUGGAGGUGGGCGUCUCGGUCCCGGGACUGGCUGGCCCUUCCCAGCCCGGCAAGCCUUGGGGGUCUCACCAGUCCCACCUUUGAAAAGAAGAGAGCUGCUUCUCGCUUUCCAUCAAACACAGGUCCCAAAUGGCUGCACCUGCCGAAAAGGAGAGCUUUCUGAGGGCUGAGACAGGAGGGUCUGCCUUUCCUCUUCGCUUCGAGUCCUCUUGGGCCUGCAGCCGGAGCCUCGUGGAGAGUGAAGGAGGAAAUGCCUCGGGCACUAAGGUCACAGUCUUGGGCAACAGUUUGGACCAGAAGUCAUAACGGCAUGUGUGCGUUGCACCACGUUCAGCAUCUGUUGUCGUGACACAAUCUUUACAGGCUUUUGUUAAUUUUCCCAGUGCUUAUCCGUGCCUGCGUUCUUUCCCCACAGCUGUCUGGCCUUCUUCCUGGCCAGCCUUGGUCUGAAAUGACAGCAUUUCUGAAGCUCCAGCUGGUCUCUAUCCCCAAAUAUGGAUUUGCUCCCUGGUGCCCGGAGCAUCGCUUUCAGAAUACCGGGCUCUGGCAUGUCACAAAGCAAAGAACUGUAGCACUUUGGUAAUGCAGGGUAACUCAUGCCCUGGCCGGGUGGCUCAGCUGGUUGGGGAAUCGUCCUGUAUGCCGAGAGGUUGCGGGUUCGAUUCCUGGUCCGGGCACCUACGGGAGGCAACUGGUCAGUGUUUCUCUCUCACAUUGAUGUCUCUGUCUGUCUGUUCGUCUCUCGCUCUCUCCAAAAUCAAUAAUAAA